rnacentral:rRNA from 1 species
UGGGGAAUAUUGCACAAUGGGCGAAAGCCUGAUGCAGCGACGCCGCGUGAGGGAUGACGGCCUUCGGGUUGUAAACCUCUUUCAGCAGGGAAGAAGCGAAAGUGACGGUACCUGCAGAAGAAGCGCCGGCUAACUACGUGCCAGCAGCCGCGGUAAUACGUAGGGCGCAAGCGUUGUCCGGAAUUAUUGGGCGUAAAGAGCUCGUAGGCGGCUUGUCACGUCGGAUGUGAAAGCCCGGGGCUUAACCCCGGGUCUGCAUUCGAUACGGGCUAGCUAGAGUGUGGUAGGGGAGAUCGGAAUUCCUGGUGUAGCGGUGAAAUGCGCAGAUAUCAGGAGGAACACCGGUGGCGAAGGCGGAUCUCUGGGCCAUUACUGACGCUGAGGAGCGAAAGCGUGGGGAGCGAACA